GCCGCAGACCGUCUUAUCGCUUGAUUCGUCAAGAGGAAAGUCCGGACACCAUAGAGUAGCGUAGCGGGUAACGCCCGUCACCAGCCUCCGGGUUGGGAGGACCAGUGCAACAGAAAGGAUGUACAGUUCGGCUGUAGUGAAAUCAGGUAAACUCUACGUGGUGCAAUGUCAAGUAUAUCAACAGCCAGUUUACUGGACAGAGCGACUCGCUCUGGUUGAAGGGUAGGCAGCUUGAUCACAAGAGUAAUUUUGUGGCUAGAUAAAUGAUAAGAACUUCUUCGGGGGUACAGAAUCCGGCUUACAGGUCUGCUUUUUUU
rnacentral:RNase_P_RNA from 1 species